ensembl:lincRNA erythrocyte membrane protein band 4.1 like 4a, opposite strand
UUUCUACGCUCGCACGCGGCGCGGAGCAUGGCGUCCCCGGGAGCUGGGGCACGGGAGGUGGCGUGGGACCGAGGGUGUGUGCAGCGGACUCGGCGGCCCUGUGAGGCGCUCGGCCCGCCGGACCCCGCGUGAAGCGGGUCGGUGUGGAAGCCGAGCACCGUUUGGGAUGUAGAUCUUCGCCGUGUGCCCAGGCACAGGACUGGGCGGAUAUAAAGCGAAGACCCAGGUCACACGGUGGGUACCUGAAGUUGACUGGGUAUUUCCUGAACGACACGCGGGAGUACAGAGUGGCUUAAGGAUGUCCUUGAUUUGGAAACUUGAUCUACAGAAGCAUAAGUGAUUUAAAUUUCCUAGGAGUCGCAUCAAAACUCUACAUAGAUGAAUGCUCAUUUGUAACAAGGCUAUGAAUAAAUGUUCUGAUAGGCCCUUC